GAAGUUGGCUCAGUGGUAGAGCGCUUGCCUUGCAGGCAUGAGGCCCUGGGUUUGAUUCCUCAGCAUCA
rnacentral:tRNA from 1 species